rnacentral:rRNA from 1 species
AACCAACAGGGAUUGCCUCAGUAACGGCGAGUGAAGCGGCAAAAGCUCAAAUUUGAAAUCUAGCACCUUCGGUGUUCGAGUUGUAAUUUGAAGAUGGUAACCUUGGGUUUGGCUCUUGUCUAUGUUCCUUGGAACAGGACGUCAUAGAGGGUGAGAAUCCCGUCUGAUGAGAUGCCCAUUCCUAUGUAAGGUGCUAUCGAAGAGUCGAGUUGUUUGGGAAUGCAGCUCUAAGUGGGUGGUAAAUUCCAUCUAAAGCUAAAUAUUGGCGAGAGACCGAUAGCGAACAAGUACAGUGAUGGAAAGAUGAAAAGAACUUUGAAAAGAGAGUGAAAAAGUACGUGAAAUUGUUGAAAGGGAAGGGCAUUAGAUCAGACUUGGUGUUUUACGAUUAUCUUCUCUUCUUGAGUUGUGCACUCGUAUUUCACUGGGCCAGCAUCGAUUCGGAUGGCAAGAUAAUAGCAGUUGAAUGUGGCUUCACUUCGGUGGAGUGUUAUAGCUUCUGUUGAUAUUGCCUGUCUGGAUCGAGGGCUGCGU